CGACCGGGACGGACAGUCGCGGGCACAGCGCCGAAAGGCCGUGCAUGAGGAAAGUCCGGGCUCCACAGGGCAAGGAUAACGGGUAACGCCCGCCCAGAGCGAUCUGAGGAAAAGUGCAACAGAGAAAUACCGCUGUGAGCGGUCCGCCGCUUGCAGUAAGGAUGGAAAGGCGAGGUAAGAGCUCACCCAAUGGCGCGUAAAAGUGCCCAUUGCUGUAAACUCUAUCCGGAGCAACACCGCAGAGGAAGCAAGGCUUGCCCGGCUGCUUCCGAGAAGGUGGCUGGAGCAUACCGGCAACGGUAUGCCUAGAUAGAUGACUGUCGAUCACAGAACCCGGCUUAUAGUCCCGAUCGUGUA
rfam:Firmicutes bacterium CAG:170 genomic scaffold, scf348